rnacentral:tRNA from 1 species
GGCUAUGUAGCUCAGGUGGUAGAGCUUCUACCUAACAAGUAGAAGGCCAUGAGUUUAAACUCUAGUGUUGUUA